GGGGGCGUAGUUCAAUUGGCAGAGCAACGGUCUCCAAAACCGUCUGUUGCAGGUUCAAAUCCUGUCGCCCCUG
rnacentral:tRNA from 1 species